rnacentral:rRNA from 1 species
AUUGAACGCUGGCGGCAUGCCUAACACAUGCAAGUCGAACGGCAGCACAGCAGUAGCAAUACUGUGGGUGGCGAGUGGCGGACGGGUGAGGAAUACGUCGGAAUCUGCCCAGUCGUGGGGGAUAACUAGCCGAAAGGUUAGCUAAUACCGCAUACGACCGAGAGGUGAAAGCGGGGGACCGCAAGGCCUCGCGCGAUUGGAUGAGCCGACGUCGGAUUAGCUAGUUGGCGGGUAAAGGCCCACCAAGGCGACGAUCCGUAGCUGGUCUGAGAGGAUGAUCAGCCACACUGGAACUGAGACACGGUCCAGACUCCUACGGGAGGCAGCAGUGGGGAAUAUUGGACAAUGGGCGCAAGCCUGAUCCAGCAAUGCCGCGUGUGUGAAGAAGGCC